UGUUUUUCCUAAUGAAAUGAAGAAACUUCACACAACAAGGUCAUGGGACUUCAUGGGAUUUUCCCAGCAGGCUAAAAGAACGAAUCUUGAAAGCGAUAUCAUUGUUGGGAUGAUUGACACUGGAAUUUGGCCAGAGUCCCAAAGCUUUAAUGAUGAAGGAUUUGGUCCGCCUCCUGCCAAAUGGAAGGGCUCUUGCCAUGUCUCAUCCAAUUUCUCUUGCAACAAUAAAAUUAUAGGAGCAACAUUUUAUAGAAGCAAUGGAUUAUUUGGUGCAAAAGAUCUUAAGUCUCCAAGAGAUUCACAAGGCCAUGGAACACAUACAGCUUCAACUGCAGCCGGAGGAGUAGUUAACAUGGCAAGCCUGUAUGGCCUUGGCAUAGGAACAGCUCGCGGAGGAGUUCCAUCAGCUAGGAUUGCUGUUUACAAAGUUUGCUGGUCAGACGGUUGCUGGGAUGCUGACAUUCUUGCAGCAUUU
rnacentral:misc_RNA from 1 species